rnacentral:lncRNA from 1 species
UCUCAAAAUAACAAAAGAACAUAUAAAUAGUAAACCCUAAAACAUCCUGCUAUUUGGGCUCGGCCCAUCAAAUCGAAUUGUUUAACAUAAAUAACAAUGAGCAGGCCCAGGUGGGCUAAAUAAAUAAAUAACAAUAAGCAGCCCAAAUGGGAUAAAUAAAAUAACAAUGAAAUAGGCCCACAUGGGCUUAGUCCCCAACCAAAGCGUGACAGGCUGGGCCAUCCUACGCCGUCUCCGUCCAUAUACUCGUGUAAUCUGUGGUGUGGGCCUGGUGUCCCCACCAACUCUCCCGGGGUUGGAAAAACUCGACCCCGUCGAGUGUAGCAUUGGCCGACUCUGAUAGUACUCCCAAAGAUCUGGGUCAAGCUGCUGCAAAGUAUCUCUAGUAAUCCAAGUGCAGUCUGAGUCAGGCCGACCCACCCAGCGAACUAGAAACCGUUGAACCUCACCAUUCCUGUUAAAAACAACUUGUUCAUCCAGAAUAGCAUCAAUAUUAUCCUUUUGUGCUGAUGUCAAGGUGAAAGGGAUAGAGGUUUCAAUAGAUCAUCAGAGGGGAGUUAAGUGGUAUCUCAAAUGGGUUAUUUGGAAUAGGAAGUGGUUUGUGGUAUGCAACUAGAUCCUCAAUGUUAAAUGUAGAGCUAAUGCCAAAAUCAUGUGGUAAAUCAAGAACAUAAGCAUUUGUACCAACCCGUUGUAGCACUUUGAAAGGCCCAGCACUACGUGCAUGCAAUUUUCGAUUAGCUCCCGAAGGAAAUCGUUCGGGUCUAAUCCUUAUCAUAACAUAGUCUCCAACAUUAAACUCAUUAUGUCGUCUAUGUAAAUCAGCUUGAAGUUUAUAUUGCGCAUUACUUGCUUGAAUCUGUUUAGUGAUCUCAAUAUGCAAAUCCUGAAUUCUACGUGCAAAAGAUUCAGCUGACUCAGACACUCUAGCAUAAGGGACAUGGGAAGAAGAUCUAAAGGCUUCCUAGGCUUGUAACCAUGUACAACUUCAAAGGGACUCAUGCCUAUUGACCUAUUGAUAGAGCUAUUAUAGGCAAACUGGGCUGUAGGAAGAAUCAGAUCCCAAUUCCGAUUAUGAUCACUCACUAGACACCUUAAAGGUUUCCAAACUUCUGUUAACCACCUCAGUUUGACCAUCAGUUUGGGGGUGGUAAGCAGUAGAAAACUUCAAUUUGGUUCCUACCAUAUGCCAAAGGGUUUUCCAGAAAUAACUUGUAAAUCUAACAUCCCUAUCGAGACUAUGGUUUGGGGAAGGCCAUGCAACUUGACAAUCUCGUCAAAAUAGAGUUUUGCAACUCUGGAAGCAUCUGUGGUCUUAGUACAAGGAAUAAAAUGGGCCAUCUUAGAAGCGGUCAACAACCACAAAAAUAGAAUCAUGUUUCUUUGUAGUACGUGGAAGCCCAAGCACAAAAUCCAUACUUACAUCUUGCCAAGGCAAGUAGGAACGGGCAAUGGGGUGUAAAGACCAGUAUUUUGUUUUCUAUGUUUAGCUAGUUGGCAAGUUCGACACUGACUUACCAAUUUGCAACAUCUCUUUUCAAACUAGACCAAAAAAACUGGCGUUCUACUCUUCGAUGGUUUUAUUCCUCCAAAAUGCCCUGAGAGACCUCCAGCAUGAAUCUCCCAUAUCAAAAAAUCACGCACAGACGUUUUCGGGAUACAAAGCUUAUUAUCCGAAAUAAGUAUCCAUCUUGGAAGUGAUAACCAUUUAUUACACGGUGAUUCUCAUCCUUAAUGUCAAGUAUAUUUCUCCAAAUUCUGAACAAGAUUCAUAUUCCUCUUUAAGUCUCUCAAAUCCUAUGACUUCAACACUCAUACAGAUAACAACGUACUCGACGACUCAAAGCAUCUGCAGCCUUAUUCUCUAUUCCAGAUUUAUGUUUCAAAACAAAUGAAUAUGCUUGCAAAUAUUCAACCCAAUGACCAUGCCUAUGAUUAAGCUUCUUUUGGGAGUUAAGAUAGCGAGGGCCUCAUGAUCGGAGUAUAGAACAAACUCCUGUGGCAACAAGUAAUGUCGCCAAUAGCGCAAGGCCUGAACCACCGCAUAAAACUCCUUAUCAUAAGUUGAGUACUUUUGUUUGGCCUCAUUAAGUUUCUCACUAAAGUAGGCUACAGGGUGACGUUCUGACUAAGUACUCCACCUAUACCAACUCCCGAAGCAUCACAUUCUACUUCAAACACUUUAGUAAAAUCAGGUAGCCGCAUUACUGGGGCCUCCGUCUUUUUCUUAACUUCCUCAAAUGCCCUAUUAGCUCCUUUACUCCACUUAAACUCACCUUGUUUCAAACAAUCUGUAAUAGGUGACAUGAUAGUGCUAAAUCCCUUAAUAAAACGACGAUAGAAAGUCGCAAGCCCAUGAAAACUACGAACCUCAUGAAUAGUCUUAGGUUCAGGCCAAUCUACUAUCGCUUGACUUUUGGGGUCAGCAGAGACUCCUUUCCAUGACACUAUAAACCCUAAAAAGAUCACUUGAUCUGUAAAGAAGGAACACUUUUUGACAUUUGCAAACAAACUUGCCUUUCUUAGGGUGGUACAAACUUGAAUAAGAUGAUCGAAAUGUUCUUCCUUAGUUUUGCUAUAAAUAAGAAUAUCAUCAAAGUAUACCACCAAGAACUUUCCCAUAAAUGGCCGAAGCACUUGUGUCAUUACUCUCAUAAAAGUGCUUGGUGCAUUGGAAAGGCCAAAAGGCAUGACUAGCCAUUCAUAUAAACCAUCCUUAGUCUUAAAUGUUGUUUUCCACUCAUCUCCCGGACGGAUCCUAAUCUGAUGAUACCCGCUCUUUAAGUCAAUCUUAGAAAAGAUUUAGGCUCUUGCCAUCAUAUCUAGCAUGUCAUCCAAUCGAGGAAUUGGAAAACGAUACUUGAUUGUAAUCCUAUUUAUGGCUCGAUUCUCAACACACAUUCUCCAUGAUCCAUCUUUCUUGGGUGUUAACAGUGCAGGUACUGCACAAGGGCUCAAACUCUCUCGUAUAAAUCCCUUUUGUAACAACUCACAUACUUGCCUUUGCAAUUCAGCAUGUUCACUGGGUUCAUCCUAUAGUGAGGCAAGUUUGGUAAUGUGGCCCCAGGGACAAAAUCUAUGGCGUGUUGAACAUCACGCAUAGGGGCAAAGCAUCAGGUAGUUCAGAAGGGAAAACAUCUAGAAAUUCUUUCAACACUUCUCUUACCUCUUCAGGUGGCUCUUCUAAAAAGUCUUCUACAAUCUCUUAGCCACUACAGCAAACACAACAGACUCCUCACAAAUCUCCUUAUCAAACUCCUUAGGACUUAUUAUGUUAAGUCCUCCUUUUUCACUUUAUUCUUCUUUUGACUAUUAUCAUUAGGCUUGGAGGUAAUCCAAUAAGUUGGAUUUUUUACCUUGAAAAGUGAAUGAACAAGAAUUUGAUCGUCCAAAGAUUGUAACGUCCAAAUCAUAUAACCAAGGCCUACCCAAAAUCACAUGCCCACAUCCAUGGGAAUGACAUCACACCAAAUUUCAUCAUGAUAGUCAAAAAUCUUAAUGGGAAAAGACAUCUCUCUUUGACUGCUAUAGAUGUAUCAUUAACCCAAGACACUAUAGGGCUUGGGUGUGGAACAGACUUUAAGCCUAAGCGGGAUACACUACCCGAUGAAACUGCAUUAAUACAACUACCACUGUCAAUAAUGAUCUUACACCCUUUAUCUCCACAUUUAAUGUAAGUGUAAAAUAUAGCAGUCCUUCUCCAAUCCUCAGUUCCUUUAGGUUGUGUUAAAGCACAUCUAACCACACCUAACCUAGUUGUCUUGAUUUGAGUGGAUAUAGACCUAACACAUCCUAGCAAGUUAGACUCAUCAUCCUCAUCAUUUAAAUCUUGAAAAUCAUCGGGAUUGGGUUCAUAUAUACCUUAUCAUCACAAUUAUCAUCUUCAUCAUAUCCUCUUGCCCCUUGAUGAACAAAGCUUUAUUAGGGCAGCUAGAGGAAAUAUGACCAAAACCCUGACACUUAAAACACUGAAUUCUUGAAGUUCUAGGUGCUUCAUGAAAAAUACCCUUACCUUGUCUUCCUAGGUAUCGGGAAAUCAAAGGAUUGGUUUACGGGUGGGGCACCUAAUAUGGAUUAUUACUACCAGGUUGAGAUCUAAAGGGGUACUACGAGUGUCCUGACGUCUUGUCCACUGGCUUUUUGUGACCAAGUCAUAAUUUUGUACUAGGGUAUAAGCUUCAUCAAGGGUGGAAACACCCCUAAGCACAACCUCUCGUCUAAGGUCAUCGUUUAAGCCUUUUCGAAAUCUACUUAGGGUCAUCACUUCAUCCUCCCUAACUGCACACCUCAUCCUAUACUCAUCAAAUUGUGCCACAUAUUCAUUGGCAGACUUGCCUCCUUGUCUAAGGUUAUUCCACUGGUCCAAAAGAUUUCCUCUAUAAGAACGAGGCAAGUACUUUUCUUCUAACUUAGUCUUCAUUUCAACCCAAUCAGUAAUAGGGGUUGACCUCUCCUAAUCAAAGACUCUUCUACACUUUCCCAAUAAGCUGAGCGGUUCCACUAAGUUUCAUCUUUGCAAAUCUUACCCUUCUAUUCUCAGAUAGAUUAUACCAGCCAAAGAAUUGAUCCAUGUCACGGAUCCAUCUAUCAAAAAUCCACGGGUCAAGUUGACCCUCAAAAGUUGGGGCUUCUACCUUAAUAUGCCUCAUGACUCGCUCGUCAGGGUCAUCAUAUUCGUGAUGGCCCUGAUUGCGGUUGUACUGACGGUUCCUAGGAUGAACUGGUCUUUGACGGUAGUCAUUGGAAUGCUCACUAUCAUUAGGGUCAUCAAAGUCAUUGUGACCCUGGUGUUGGUUAUGGUGGCGGUUCCUACGAGGAACUGGUCUUUGAGGAUUUCUAUGGUUGUCAUUUGAAUGUUCACUCUCACUAGACUGUCUUAUUUGCAAAGUUUCUAUAGACUCCAUCCUCCCAGAAAGAUUGUUCAUUUGAUUGGACAUGUUGCCCAUUUCUGUUCGCAUAAGUUGUAAUUGUUCUUGAAUAUCUCUAAGAACAUUACUAGAGUUCGGGUCCAUGGUAGCUAUGACUUCUAGAUUGUGUACUAGACGACCACUACGUAAAUGCAUGCAAAACUAAUCCUGAGACUGAGAUCACAAAAUAACACUUGCAAGUAAAACGCAAAAUAAAAUUAUAGCUAAUAAUAAUAAAAUAAAUAAAGAAAAAAAAUAAUUUUUAUUUUUUUUUAUUUUUUAUUAUCUUGGAAACUAAGUAAUGAUAGAUUAAACCAGGAAAAGCGCAAGCAAGCAUGUAAGUCCUCUAAAUGCACACAAGUAAUCCAAACACAAUGUUUCAGUUUUCCCACUAAUUUAACCAAGCUCCACAAUUAACUAAGAGGAUCAGAUCUUCAAUUACUCAAAAUUAAAGUAAUUCAAUUUAAAAGUGGGCUAUGUAAUCUAGUUAUGGGCAAGCACAAAGGAUAAUAUUAAUGCUAAAUACUGAUUAACAAGUGUAAAACAUACCAGAAUGAUGAUUUUCAAUGGGUAAAAAUUCUGACCGUAUGAUGUGGCAGUGAAGGAUUACGUGGCAGCUGACAUGGCAGGGUAUGCUGACGAGGCAGAUGAUGUGGGUAGAGCUGCUGACGUGGAAGUCAACUGAUGCGCUGACGUGUCGCUGACGUGUCUAGGUUGAUUAUUUUCCCAGCUGCUCUCUUCGUGUUUUCCUGGCUUCUGUCACCUGUGGCCGCUGCUGUAGGCGAUAACACUGUUGACGGUGGCGUUGUGGCUGCUGCUGCUGCUGGGGCGCGAGUCAGUGGUGGUUGCGACCGAAGACAAAGAACUGCUAUGGCCGCGGCGCUGUGGGUUGUUGAAGGCAGUGAAUCGGUGUGGACUGGGAUCGGUGGCUGUGAUCGUUGGCUACGAUCGGCGUUGAUGUAGAAUGGCCGAUCGUUCUGUGGAACUGAUGUGCAGGUGGUGGCCGAUCGUUCUGUGGUCUGGGGCGCCGCUGCUGAAAAUUGAAGAUGAACAGUAACGAGAGUUGUAGCGUUUUUGUUUUUGAUCGGAACAGUAGUUGUUUCCUGAUUUUUUUUGAACAGUAACGCUUUUUUUUUUUUAUAAUCAGAACAGUAGUUGUUUUCUGAUUUUUUUUUUUUGUUUCAGAUUAAUCUAGGGUUAAACAUAAACACAUAGAUCGCUUAAUUGUAAGAACAAUUAAAAGCCGUGCUCUGAUACCAAAUUUGACGCGGACAACAAAUAAAAAGAAUUAAAGCAAGAAAAGAAAGAAGCUAAAGAAGAAGAAGAAGAGAGGGGAUUGGAGAGAUGCAAAACUUGUAAAUUUUCAUUAAUCAUUCAAAAAGUCCCUCUCAAAAUAACAAAAGAACAUAUAAAUAGUAAACCCUAAAAGUAAACCCUAAAACAUCCUGCUAUUUGGGCUCGGCCCAUCAAAUCGAAUUGUUUAACAUAAAUAACAAUGAGCAGGCCCAGGUGGGCUAAAUAAAUAAAUAACAAUAAACAGACCCAAACGGGAUAAAUAAAAUAACAAUGAAAUAGGCCCACAUGGGCUUAGUCCCCCAACCAAAGCGUGACAGGCUGGGCCAUCCUG